rnacentral:rRNA from 1 species
GAUGAACGCUGGCGGCGUGCUUAACACAUGCAAGUCGAACGGGAAUUACUUUAUUGAAACUUCGGUCGAUUUAAUUUAAUUCUAGUGGCGGACGGGUGAGUAACGCGUGGGUAACCUGCCUUAUACAGGGGGAUAACAGUCAGAAAUGACUGCUAAUACCGCAUAAGCGCACAGAGCUGCAUGGCUCGGUGUGAAAAACUCCGGUGGUAUAAGAUGGACCCGCGUUGGAUUAGCUGGUUGGUGAGGUAACGGCCCACCAAGGCGACGAUCCAUAGCCGGCCUGAGAGGGUGAACGGCCACAUUGGGACUGAGACACGGCCCAGACUCCUACGGGAGGCAGCAGUGGGGAAUAUUGCACAAUGGGGGAAACCCUGAUGCAGCGACGCCGCGUGAAGGAAGAAGUAUCUCGGUAUGUAAACUUCUAUCAGCAGGGAAGAAAAUGACGGUACCUGACUAAGAAGCCCCGGCUAACUA